rnacentral:misc_RNA from 1 species
GCCAGAACCAGCAGAACUUCCAGACGUAUUGCUAACCCGUACAGGCACACAUUCAAGUAUACGCCGGAGCUUAAUCUCAAGAUCCUCCUCUUCAGGAUUAGCCGCAGGUGGCGUGUAUUCCACUAGAGCCGUGGAAGAAGAAACCGGAGGACGAGGAGGUAGAGCAGCCACCUGCCUCCCCGACGCAGCAACAAUCUGUAAAUCUCCGGCUGCGACGGCCGUUGAUCGACCCGACGAUGACAUCUUCGUGGCCCAAAGAAGAGCUUCUUACCUUCACCUUCGUACUCGGGGAAGAAUAAAUAGGCUAUAAGGGAUGUUACCUGUUGCGAACUGAGAGAACUCUUUUCUAGGGUACCGGGGCUUCGCCGUCGACUAUGAUUGCCUGGACCUGGAAG